UCCCCAAGAAUAAAAGUCCUGGACCUGAUGGGUAUAUUGGGGAGUUUUAUCAAACAUUAAGAGAAGAAUUACUGGGUCUCUAACCUUAGUGGACAAUACAGAGCUCUGUGUGUUCUCUGCAAGGGCAGAAUAACAAGAUAAUCUUCCUACUUUUGAAUGAACUGUCUUUACUAGAGGCUGUUUAUCCAGUUGUCAGGAAGAAACUGGUAACUGGAAUGAGAUAGUAGGGACAUGGUAUAUUUGGGAAUCGGGUUGGGGCUCCUAAGGGACUUAGCUUGUGUUGUGACCAUUGAGGGAUGAACACAGAUCUUUUUGUAAUCUGAUGGCU